CCUAUAUGGGGAGGCUGCAGACCUGGAGCCGGUAGAUAUAGGCCCCAAGCAGUUUUACGCCCCAAGCAGUUUUACGCCCCUGUUGUUCCUCAUGCGUCCAGUAGGGGGAGGCUGUAUAUUAGUAUAUGAGCCUAGUCAUCAAAACAGCAGACCAUAUCUGUAUGAUAGCGGCAGACAUUUUUUGAAGCGAUACGAAAUGAGUAUGCCCUUUACACUGUGCUGAACACUCCAUUCAAUUUUACUUCGCUUGACAUGCCUGCAAUCAGGGAGUGGUGGUGUCUACGUCUAAUUGAGCGGUUUGAGACAGA
ensembl:lncRNA